rnacentral:rRNA from 1 species
GAUGAACGCUGGCGGCGUGCCUAAUACAUGCAAGUCGAGCGAACAGAUGAGGAGCUUGCUCCUCUGACGUUAGCGGCGGACGGGUGAGUAACACGUGGAUAACCUACCUAUAAGACUGGGAUAACUUCGGGAAACCGGAGCUAAUACCGGAUAAUAUAUUGAACCGCAUGGUUCAAUAGUGAAAGACGGUUUUGCUGUCACUUAUAGAUGGAUCCGCGCCGCAUUAGCUAGUUGGUAAGGUAACGGCUUACCAAGGCAACGAUGCGUAGCCGACCUGAGAGGGGGAUCGGCCACACUGGAACUGAGACACGGUCCAGACUCCUACGGGAGGCAGCAGUAGGGAAUCUUCCGCAAUGGGCGAAAGCCUGACGGAGCAGCGCCGCGUGAGUGAUGAAGGUCUUCGGAUCGUAAAACUCUGUUAUUAGGGAAGAACAAAUGUGUAAGUAACUAUGCACGUCUUGACGGUACCUAAUCAGAAAGCCACGGCUAACUACGUG